GAGUGUAUAGCUCAGUGGUAGAGUGCAUGUGUGAGGUUCUGGGUUCAAUCCCCAGUACCUCCA
rnacentral:tRNA from 1 species